AAGAAAUCAAAUAAAGCAUCAGUUCAACAGUAGAAGUAAACAUACACACAUUACUAGCAAAAAUAGAAACUAGUAAACACACAUGCGCUUGUGCUCAGAACACAACACACCACCCCUUCAGUUAGUCCACACCAAGCACCAAUCUACUUCACACAGAUAGAACACUUCCCCCUCUUCUCCAUCCAACAUCAUCUCCAACAUCAUCUAUAGCUAUAG
rnacentral:lncRNA from 1 species